GGGAAACCCGGCUGGAGUGAUCCAGUCAUCCUGCCCUGAAUACAUAGGGGCAGCGAAGCGAACGUGGGGAACUGAAACAUCUCAGUACCUGCAGGAAGAGAAAGAAAAAUCGAUUCCCCCAGUAGUGGUGAGCGAAAAGGGAACAGCCCAAACCCUGGAGAAGCAAUUUUCCAGGGGGUUGUGGGGCAGCCGAUACGUGAUGACAAGUGGGUAGCGGAACGGUCUGGGAAGGCCGGCCAUAGCGGGUGAGAGCCCCGUACGCGAAACUCACGAGUCCACCAGGCUGUACCCGAGUAGCUCGGGACACGAGGAAUCCCGAGUGAAUCCGCGGGGACCAUCCCGCAAGGCUAAAUACUCCCUGACGACCGAUAGUGAACCAGUACCGUGAGGGAAAGGUGAAAAGCACCCCCGCGAGGGGAGUGGAAAUAGACCCUGAAACUGUGAGCCCCCGGUAAACGGCGGCCGUAACAAUAACGGUCCUAAGGUAGCGAAAUUCCUGUCGGUAAGUUCCGACCUGCACGAAUGGCGUAACGACUUCCGCACUGUCUCGACCAGGGACU
rnacentral:rRNA from 1 species